UGGGGAAUAUUGGACAAUGGGCGCAAGCCUGAUCCAGCCUUGCCGCGUGAGUGAUGAAGGCCCUAGGGUUGUAAAGCUCUUUCACCGGUGAAGAUAAUGACGGUAACCGGAGAAGAAGCCCCGGCUAACUUCGUGCCAGCAGCCGCGGUAAUACGAAGGGGGCUAGCGUUGUUCGGAUUUACUGGGCGUAAAGCGCACGUAGGCGGACUUUUAAGUCAGGGGUGAAAUCCCGGGGCUCAACCCCGGAACUGCCUUUGAUACUGGAAGUCUUGAGUAUGGUAGAGGUGAGUGGAAUUCCGAGUGUAGAGGUGAAAUUCGUAGAUAUUCGGAGGAACACCAGUGGCGAAGGCGGCUCACUGGACCAUUACUGACGCUGAGGUGCGAAAGCGUGGGGAGCAAACAGG
rnacentral:rRNA from 1 species